GAUGAACGCUGGCGGCGUGCCUAAUACAUGCAAGUCGAGCGAAUGGAUUAAGAGCUUGCUCUUAUGAAGUUAGCGGCGGACGGGUGAGUAACACGUGGGUAACCUGCCCAUAAGACUGGGAUAACUCCGGGAAACCGGGGCUAAUACCGGGUAACAUUUUGAACCGCAUGGUUCGAAAUUGAAAGGCGGCUUCGGCUGUCACUUAUGGAUGGACCCGCGUCGCAUUAGCUAGUUGGUGAGGUAACGGCUCACCAAGGCAACGAUGCGUAGCCGACCUGAGAGGGUGAUCGGCCACACUGGGACUGAGACACGGCCCAGACUCCUACGGGAGGCAGCAGUAGGGAAUCUUCCGCAAUGGACGAAAGUCUGACGGAGCAACGCCACGUGAGUGAUGAGGGCUUUCGGGUCGUAAAACUCUGUUGUUAGGGAAGAACAAGUGCUAGUUGAAUAAGCUGGCACCUUGACGGUACCUAACCAGAAAGCCACGGCUAACUACGUGCCAGCCGCCGCCGUAA
rnacentral:rRNA from 1 species